AAUGAACGUUGGCGGCGUGGAUUAGGCAUGCAAGUCGUGCGAUAACCGUAGCAAUACGGCGAAAGCGGCGAAAGGGAGAGUAAUGCGUGGAUACCUACCCCCAGGUCCAGGAUAGCCGCGGGAAACUGCGGGUAAUACUGGAUGACGUCUCCGGACCAAAGGUGUGAUUCCGCCCGGGGAUGGGUCCGCGUCCUAUUAGCUUGUUGGCAGGGUAAUGGCCUACCAAGGCAAAGAUGGGUACGGGGGGUGAGAGCAUGCCCCCGCCCACUGGGACUGAGACACUGCGCAGACACCGACGGGUGGCUGCAGGCGAGGAUCUUCGGCAAUGGGCGCAAGCCUGACCGAGCGACGCCGCGUGAGGGAUGAAGGCCUUCGGGUUGUAAACCGCUGUCAGAGGGGAGGAAAUGCCGGUGGGUUCUCCCAUCGGUUUGACCUAUCCUCAGAGGAAGGACGGGCUAAGUUCGUGCCAGCAGCCGCCGUAA
rnacentral:rRNA from 1 species